ensembl:lncRNA
GGACCCCGCUUUAGAAACCCCGCUUUAGGGCCCCUGUUUUAGAGACCCCGCUCUAGGGACCCCACUCUAGGGACCCCGCUUUAGGGACCCCGCUUCAGGGCCCCCGCUAUAGAAACCCUGAUUUAGGGCCCCCGCUUUAGAGACCCCGCUUUAGUGACCCCGCUUUAUAGACCCCGCUUUAGGGCCCCCGCUUUAGAAACCCCGCUUUAGGGCCCCCACUUUAGGGCCCCCGCUUUAGAGACCCCGCUUUAGGGCCCCCUCUUUAGGGCCCCCUCUUUAGAAAACCCCGAUUUAGGGCUUCCGCUUUAGAGACCCCGCUUUAGGGACCCCGCUUUAGAGACCCCGCUUUAGGGACCUCGCUUUAGAAACCCCGAUUUAGGGCCCCCGCUUUAGGAACCCCGCUUUAGGGAACCCGAUUUAGAGACCCUGCUUGAGAGACCCCGCUUUAGGGCACGCUUACUCUGAUUAUCAGGCUGCUGCUGCUACCAGAGCUGUAAACGGCCAAAUGUCUGACCUCAAAGCUUUAAAAGGGCACUCCACAAUCCGAUUAGGUGCCAUUUCAUUUUUAAUUUUAAUGAUUUUAUUUCAUUUUGUUUCGUAGCUAUGGUAUAGGUGUUAUUAUGGACUUUAUUGUAUCCAUCUGAUCACCGUUUUUUUUACACUGGACUGGCCAACCACAGCACAGGCUGGCUUCCAUCUUAAACAGCUGACAUCCUUUUUUCGGUGCUUUGAGCAAAGCAGAAUCGUGACAAGUCACAUGAGUCCCCAGUCGGGCCUUCGGUGUCGUCGUCUUUCUAUUCAAGCGAUGCAAUCACAGUAACUUUUCAGCCAUAUCUCUUUCACACCUUCUCAUCUAAACUCCUUUCGGUCAAGAAUCAUGUCUCCUGAGGGCUUGAGAUGGGAAUGAAAUGUCCUUGAAGGAAAAAGAGCAGAAUAUGGAAACAUACAACUUUAAAACAUGUCUAAAGACCUAAUGAGAGACUCGUCUCGUCGCUGAACUACCAAAAGUCCGGUCCAGACGGCACUGCGAAAUGACCUCCAGGGGGACUUCCCGGCCGCGAUACCGUCAGGUCAGAGGUCAGCUUUGCUUGAUCUUCAUUCCUGAUUGGAGCUCCCACUUUGUGUUCCAAUGAUCACAAAGCACCGGUCUCAUCCCACCUCCUUUUACAGCCUGAUCUGACAGUUCUGUGUGUGUGUGUGUGUGUGUGUGUGUGUGGGUGGGUGUGUGUGUGUGUGUGUGUGUGCAAGAGCAACGAGCCUUUGAGUCCAUAGAUUGAGCGCGCACCCUGGGAAUAUAUUACCGUCUCUUCCCCUACAUAAGGCGGGGUUGUUUUUAUUAUUACUAUUCAUAAUUCUGGUGAUAUUGACACAGUGAUAAGCUGAAUUGAGUUUAUGAGGCUUCUCCUCUGAGAGGAAUACCAGACCACACUUUGAGUUGAGUCAGCAGACUAGCGUUAAAACUAAUCACAAUUUAAUGGAUCUCCAACUCCCAAGGUUGCAGAGAUGUGAAUAAAGCAUAGCCCGGGGCGCUCUCGGAUAACCCCGUACUCUCCAUCGCCAGACCACUGAAAAUCAGGGUUGGAUUUGCUUGAAAUGGUGAUGUGCUCGCCACAUACAUUAUUCAAAUGAAUAGUUUUUCAGCAGACAUCCGGCGAUAUGUGCAAGCUAUUCUAUUUGUCUCUCAGUACUUUCUGAGAUCUGUGAAGAAACGGAAUCGUAAGAGCAUUCCUAAUAGCUUUAAAAUGCCUUUUACCGGACGCACUGGGGACCAGGGGACGGGGCAUUACAUGCGUGCAGGAAUAGUGCAGCAAGUAGUGACGGGAAGGAAACAGGAAAUCGGUGAGGUGGUUUGGUUUGCGGAGGUAUGAAGAUUCUGCCCACUGUUUCAGCCAAUUUCAGGGAAAAAAACAUUUUUGACGACGUCUGGACAAAAUGGUCCUAGUACUCCAAAAUAGAAAUACUGGACUUUGAAAAUAAUUGGGAGCCUUCUGAGGUAAAACCACGCUGCUAGAUGUACGAUAGUUAAGACGCUGAGUGUCAGCAAUUGUCAACAUCUCUGAGAGCCCGACUGUGUCCCGCAGUCUAUCGAAGCUGGUAAAGUGCAUGGUUUCGUGAUUAAGUGUAGAAUCAAACAGUUAAACUGUAUAACGUGUCGUGUGCUUAACAGCCGCUCUGUUAAGACUCAAAGGUCACUUCAAUUUUAGGGAAUUUAAAAUUUACAGCAAACGCGUUCAAAUGGCCGAGAUCGGGAGCAAGCGAAGAAGGAUUAACGCAAGUAAUGCAGUUUUCAAAUUAGAUGUCAACAAAGCAUGUAUACAAAUUGCAUGGGAAAAGAUUGUCCUAAAUUUGCCAUAGAAAAAUUAACUACCUAUACAGAAAAUCAAAUAUUUUUCCUCUACCAAUUGAGAAUUCCAAAGUCCUGAUAGGGAGAAUAAAGUCAUUGCUGAGAAUUCAAAGUAUUCAAAAGCUCUUUAAUCAAUAAUUCCUGACAAUAACUCAUGUAUGUGUGCUCAGGACUCCACUGAUACUAAAAAUAUAUCAUUUCUACUGUAGUAAUUAAGAGAAUGUCUUACACAAUAUCUCAAUAUUUGAGGUACCAUGAAGUGUUAAAUAAGUGAAUAAUAAACCAAUUCCAGACAAUGAGCGAUGUACACGUUGUCAGGGUGGGUGGAAGGCAGGACUCAAACGCAGACGUCAAAAGCAAAAAGACUAAUAGUCAUAAACUCCAACACAAAAUGGCCAAGGGCCAAAAACGCAUACAGGUAAUAGGGGGAAAAACUAGAGACAUCCAGGACGAUAGACAAUGUGACACAAGAGACGCUUAAAUACACUAGGGUUAGGGUUAGGGUAUUGGACACAGGUUGAAACGAUCAGACAAUCACAGGGGUUGACAGGACCAGGCAGGAAGUGAAGUUACCCGGGGAGACGAGUGGCAGAAAACUACAAAAUAAGACAGGACGUGAACCACACCAUGACACACGUGUUCCCUUUCUGACUACUCUUAAAACAAAGAUGAGGUUUUUUUAAAGAAAUUCACAUUUCACCUUUUAAAAAGCAAAUAUCACAAUAUUUGAGCUCCUAUGAAACAAGUUUUCUCAAUAAUUCCAGACAAUGACAGAUGUACACGCGUUUCCUCGGCAUAUUGUGAAAAUUAGACAUUGCUGUACCACCAGAGAUCUUCCAAAGUAAAAGUCCUACAUCUCUACAGAGACCAGUCAUUUGUGAAUAUUUGAAAAGUCAGAAGUAUUUGCUGUAAUUUUCAGACAAUGACUAUAUUUGUUCAGGACGCAGCUCGGGUGUCCUGUGACGAUGCGGUUAAUGAAUGCGGUACAAAUGAAGCCUUGUGAGGAUUUACAGGUUUAUGGCACGUCCCGAUCGGCUUUAUGUUUAAGAACCACAUGUUGGCGGUGUCCCAUCAAUCCAUGCUGAUGGAACAAGGGUCCAACUGAGAACAAAGUACACUAAAUAUAUUCAAUAACAAAUUCAAAUAGAUCUUUAUGUUCAAUCAAGUGUUCUUGCAGGUAUAGAACCUCGUUUGGAAAAUAUUACAAUGACCGUCGAUCUGCUCACAUGUACUUACAUUAAAACAGUUAGUUUAAUGCACAACGAUAGCGCGUACAAUAAGAAUCAGAUCAGAAUCACAUACAGGAAUGUGUUUGCUGCAGUUUUACAAGACAAUACAAUUAGAUAAUUAUACAAUCCAAAAAUGUAUAUAAACAGAAAAGUACAUUGAAAAGAUGUAUACAUUAGUCUAUUGUGUAAAUGUCUGGUCAGAGGGGGACUUGUUUUAUGAGUGUAACUGAUGAGGGGAAGAACCUUUUUCUUUCGUGGGAGGCCUUGGUCACCCUUUGCAGAGCGGAUGGGACCCUGCAGCCGGCCCUUCUCCUUGGCAGAGGCUGCAGGGUACCAGACAGUGAUGGGGACCAGAGGACCGGAUCAAUGGUGGCCGUGUAGAAGGGCACCAUCACCGUCUUUGGCAAGCGUGCAUACUAGGAAUAUAGACAAGCCAACAAUUUGGUUAAGUAAAAAGACGUUAAAGUUGAAUUAAAACAUUAACUUAUGUUGUGAAUCUAAACUCUGCCCCCAAAACAAACAUGACGUUACCGGUGAACCAACAUGAGUCUCCGACAGAAGAUUAAACAUUAUGAACACUGAAGCCUAGUUAUAGCUCAUGUAUAAUAAUGUAAUACCAGCGGGUCAUUUCACAGACUUGGCGAGAACGGGCUGCUCUCUGCAGGGUGAAUCGAGCCCCCCCACCACCCACCCCGGGGCCGGACAGGUCUGAUGGUCCCGUUAACUAAACCUCACGUCUCCGACAUCUUUGGAGGUAAAUGUUGAGGCUUUUUUCAGUUUUGACAGACCACAGAAUUGUUGCUUAAACAACUUUCCUCUCGCCUGAAAGUCCUAAUAUUACAUUCCGUGACUUAAUACUUGUAUUUAUGAAAAUCGACAUGAGUUGCCCGUCGUUGGGCUGAAAUGCCUUCUGGAACAUUUGGCUCUCACAGGAACGGAAUGGCCUGCUCUGAUGCCUUCUAGGUCGAAUGGGCGGGGUGAGUCACAUACGGCCGUUUGGACGGUUCUCUGCGAGAUUAAGAAGCCAAGUGUUCCCAUCCCUCUGCAGCGUCAGGCUUUCCUUCGCGUGGACCUGGAACAGCUCUGAUCACGUUUUUUUUGUAGUUCAUUGUACAGAAGGAAUAGACUAAAUUAAAAUUUCCAGAGAUCCUCUGGGCCUCAGAAUCCAACAACGUGAAAGAUUCCAGCAUUGAGUUAUUUGUAGAAUAUAAAGAGUCAGAGCCAUGUUUCUCUCACGAGGUCAAGCUCCGCCUCAAGAAAAAUACAUUAAGAUUGCCAUGGUUACCGUGACGAGGUCUGGAGUCAAAAUAUCUGCUGGUUCAGACGACUGCUGUUCUAUCCUGCUCUUUUGGCUGGUCCUGUUGCUUUGUUCCAUCUUUAAGUGAUUUUUAUAGAGCUCCCGCAGCAGGAAAAUUUAGAGUUGCCCCCCCACCCGCCAAUCUUUGAAUAAUUUAGGUGCCUUGGCUCAGGGCUGUCACGUAGAUGACCACCUGCUCCGAUAUUGCGUGUGCAGUAGGACCAUUCUUCAUGUACCUUCCCUUGUCUGCCCAUAGAGUCCAUUGACACCAGCAUCAGAUGAUUAAUUAAGAACCACUUGCUUCGGCGAAGGACGUUUCAGUGAGUGUUUUGCAAGCUGUUCAGUAGCAGUCACAUAGACAUCUCAGAACAUACAGCGCGUUGGGACGGAUUUGGGGUAUUUUGGAUUAGAUGUGAUGACAAAAGACUUUCCACUUCAUUUUGUACCUUUUAACCACCCACCUUCCAGAAUGGAACGAUUGCAUGUGCACGAAAGGAAAUUACAGCAAAGGCUGAAACGGUGCAGGAGCUGCGUGAGUAAAAGUCAAAGCCAGGAACAACAACAUUAGUUUUCUUAACUGAGUGUGUUAUAUUAAAAUCACAGUAUGAUUUUUUGAAUUUUAAAUGGUCGUUGUCAGUGUCACUCUGAACAGGAUUACAAUGAAAACAUUUAUGUAUGUUUUAGCAGUAUAAAUUUGUUACUGUAAUUUGAGUUUACCUUCCCCAUACUAUGAUGUUAAUAACAUGAUCCUCUACAACAGCAGGGACAUCUAACAAGGCAUAUUCAAAUAUGCCAUGUAAUUAUUGCUGAAAUGCUACUGAUGCACUAUCAUCAUCACGAUCAUGAAAGUGCACAUGGUAUUUCACUUUAAAAUAAAUGUAAUGUUGAAAUAAGUGCAGACUGUGUGCACCGUGAGGGUCAGCUGAUGAACCCACAACACAGAAAUGAUAGCUUUCAUUUGGAGAUUGUCAGCAACAAAGUGGUCUGCAGCUAUAGCGAUGUGGGUAAAGAGGGAUUCACUGGAGACCUUCAGGACAUCAUGAAGAUCCCACAAUGACCAUUUAAAUCAUUGGUGCAGAGUAGACUAGAGAAUAAAGACCACAUGGAAAUAGCCACAGUAAAUACAUCUUUGAGAACUUUGGGCAGCUUUUCUUGUCCACGGAAGGUUCUGUGUAUAACAGUGACCCAAUAAAGUAGAGGGUGCGCCAGGAACCUCAAGGUUGGCGGUUCGACCCCUGGCUGCUCCAUGUCAAAGUGUCCCUGAGCAAGACACCCAACCCCUAACUGCUCGCCGGGCAAAAAUGUAAAAACUAUAAGUUAAAAAUGCAAUGCAAGCCGCUUUGGAUAAAAGCGUCAGCUAAAUGGCAUCUAAUGUAAAGCCAUCUCACAAAACUAAGUUCAAAGCUAUUCUAAAUCUACCACCUUGGUCUGUUCACAAAGAGUUUGCCCUGAGGUGCAUUUUUUAAAGGAAAAUGUAUACCAAUAUGCUUUUUCCCUAAUGGGACGUCUCUCUGCGCUCCAAUGUUGUGCUCUGUGAGAGUGUUUUCAGCACUGUAAGUGCUCCAUAACGCUUGACUAAAAUGGAAAAGGUAAAGCGCUAUUAUAAUGGAAAUAUUAGUACUCCACAGUUUGUCAUUAAAUUGAUGUUUUUGUUCACCUUCAACUUGUUCCAACCUUUUUCUGCCGCUGCUUGAGCAAGGGAGAAAUCUAUACGCUGAAGUGCACUUCUGAAAUAUCUCGUGUAGAGAGACCUUCAGAUGAAAAAGGUUUAUAUUCAUUAUAGUUGUGCUGCAUUGAUAUUUUGAAGCCAUUGGUUUUUCUAACCCAUUGCAGUUGUCGUGCACGGUUUAGGAACAUUUUCGGGUAUUAGAUAGUGUAAAAGUAAAUCAUUGGCGGAUAGAAUAAUCAAUAAGAUAAUUUCCGAAUGAAUGAAUAAAUCACAGGGCACCAGCCUGAAACCAGGACUCUGGAGGCUGCAGCUUGUUUUAAACUAAGAUCGGUUUCUUCAUGUUGUACCUAGACUUCAGUGCAAUUACGUUAAGUCUAUAUAGUUAUUCCAAUCCAUCACUUCCACUUCGUAGAAGUAACUUCUCGUGGUAAAUUGGCCUUCGGGCCAAAGGAGCAUCGGGAAGCGACUGACGAGCACCUCCUUCAUUAAGGCCAGCUGCGGGCUUUACCGGGCCACGGUACCUACCAAUGUUACUCCCCCGUCCCUCUCCGGGGAGAGUCCAGCGCGUACCACUUGCAUGGGCUCGGUCUCUCGAGGAGGCACGAGAGCUGCAGGAUCGGGCGGGCGUUGGAUGAGUGAGCCAAGGAGGGGGGUUUGGGUUGGGAAGGUUCCAGCGCUUAGCGGAUGAGACGAUCUAAUCAAGUGGUCACCUCGAUGAACCGCUCUAGAAGGAGGUAACGCAGAUAAGGGUAGUUGCGCAUUAGACAAGGAAAAUCUAAAUCUUUGUACCAGACCUGAGACACAAGAGGCAAACAGCCUUGGAUCUACUCCCCUAGAGAUCCACGCAGUGGAAGGCCGAGCCGUCAGGGGAGCAAGCAGAUGGGAAGCCGAGGAAACGGGCUGAUCUCGUGGUAGCGGACGAGAGGCUGAGACGGUCAGCGGGGAACGGGGCAGGUUAGGUGGGAGUGAUUGUUCUGAUGAGGUGGGUGUGAGCUAAUUAGUUGAGUGACAGGGGGAUUUGAAUUGCUAAAGAUUUUUGACUGAGAUCCAGAAGCCCUCAUUUUUCUUAUCAUUAGUACAGCUUCGAUUGGCGGCAGUCAGUCCAAUUUGACAGAUCUGCUGCUUUGUGGCAGAGACCAGGAAGAGGUCAUUGUUCUGGUUGGCGUGUGGUAGAAUGGGUGAAAGGUGCCCAGCAGCUUCCGUAGUAGUUUGUGUUGCUUUUACCGUUUUAAUGUCUUUUCGGCCGUGUAUGUUUCUGCAUUUUGUAAAUAAACGUUCAGAUGAGACUUUUAUUUUGCAUCUCAAUCUCAUUACGUGCAAAUCUGCUUCCCUUUUGCUUAAUUCCUAACAUCUUCUGACUGAUGGUUCUUGGUGGAAUGAGACUUUGCCGCGGGACAAAACAAAGUCGAGCUUCCAAAGAAAUCAAAAAGAUGCAGGUGCCCAUGUCGGGAGGGGUCAUUAGGAUUGAUUCAGAAAUCCAAGUCUAUUGUGGUAUAUGAUGUGCACUGAAGCCACAUGAAAGGCCGUCCAGUCACACAACGUCAAGUCAGCGGCCGCUUCUUACUAAACUAAUCAAUACACGUCAAGUUAAAAAAAUGUUUGGUGGCAUUUUCCUGGUGCCAUUUAGUCAUUCCUCUGCAGUCAACAGUCCCUAGGACAAAAUAAAUAGAGCCAUUCCGAGUAAUGAGUGCCACAGUGUGUAGGUCAAAAGCUCUUUAUAGUAUUAAAUUAGACUAAGUGCAAAGUCACGGGUAUUGAGUUUGCUGAAGGGUGAAAUUUGCACACAUCAUGACGCCGUGGAAGUUAGUACAGCAAUGAUGUAAUUGGACUUGAUGGUUGAGCCCAUAACCCCUUUUUCAGUGAGCACGGGGGGAAUGAGAACAAUUUACAGAGUAAAUGUUCCAAAUGUCUCCACUACCCCGAAUCCCAAAUCUAUGCUUUAAUUUACGACGCUCUGGGUACCCCUCUAACAACAGUUUCCACUCUGUUACAUCCAUGUCUUUUUAACAUAAAUGUCCUGUAUCACAAAGGAUGUAUAGGUUCCAGUGGUGUGAAGCAGCAGAAUCGUAAAAGCAUUCCAAUAAGCGUGUGUGGGAUCUGGGGACCAGGAGCACAAUAGUGGAGAAAGCAGUGACGGGCAGAAAGGGGGGGGGGAUUCAUGCAGCCAAUGCCUGAGCUUAUUGUAUUGAUGUCAAACGAAGGAACCCGAUUGAUCGAUUUUCAAAAAGUCGACGGACCUCUUGUGGAAAACUACAGCUACGUCUCUAUUCAAUUGAAUAUUAUUUGAUUUAAUUUGACUUGAGUUUUGGGGCCUAUUUUGCUGACGGACCUCAAUCUGGGGCCUUUCUAAUUUUUAGGAUUAAGUGGUCCGGUUCAGCAACACGUUGCGGUUUGGGUUUAAAGAAGUCAUGUCUCAUUUCGCCGGCUGCAGAGGACAAAGCCUUGCUGGUCUACGUGGGCCCUUAACAGCCCAUAGGCCGAACCGAGAGGUGGCCGAAGUGAGACGGUCUGGCCCGGUGGGGGAGGAUGUCUCGGUUACGUAAAAUGCAUAUUCAUAUUGAAUCAAAUAGGUUUACAUCAAAGUUAGUCAAUGAGAUGAACAGACCUAUGGUCAGUUGAAUUCUGCCUGACUUUAACUAAAGCCCUGGUUCAGUUUGCCCAAAUGUUGGGAUACAAGGGAGGCCAGUAGGCAAGCUGUAACAGUUUUUUAUUUGCAAAAUAUCUCCCUCUCUGUAAUUUUGAUGCUUGAAUGAACUGUAUUCAGAACGGUUACCUCCGUCUGCACUUUAGGGAUUUUUGCUCCCACCACUUUUGUUUCAAGGCAGUGGCAGAGAGCGAAGUGAAACAAGUGCACAUAAAUAGGGGGAUUAAGACUAAUGCACGCUGUGUCUUUUGUUUGCUGCUGCUUGUUUUGUUAGCUCAGCAGAGGGCGGGACUCAGGGACGCAUGAAGCACGUUAGCGGAGUUGAUGAAAAGCUUCUUUAGUGGAAAUACAGCUGACGUUAAACAAAGAACCGGUUCAGGGUUCUACAGCUCAGUACAGCGACACCGCUCAGUAAUUGUAUUUAACUGUCCCAGGUCGCAGCACGUUUACUGAGUUUAGAGAGUGAGGUGAAUAUGAGCUGUUUCCACACACACACACACACACACACACACACACACACACACAACCUCUGGCUCUGCUGUGUAGUUCUCUUCUAGGAAGCAACUUCCCACACAGUAAGUGGCAAAGAGCGGCUGCGCUGGUCACAUUACUAAAGACAUGAAGAGCGGAGAGAGUUGAGCCCUCGUUGCGGUAACCUUGUCCUCGCCUGUCGUCUGUAAACGUCACCGUGUGUUCGUUUCACCCCGGCGCUGGGAAGCUGGAGGUUAAUUCAGACCUUCAGUGACUCCGUAUCUCCGGUGCACAUCACAGCAAACUUUCCCCCCCCGCUUGGUCGCUCAGUUGGACUCUGAUAACUUUAGUAUCUGGCAGUAAUUGGUCUUAUGGCUGAUUCAUAUCUGUUGCGUGGCAGGUCCUACAGGAGAGUUCCAUUGAUAUCAUGGGAGCAGUAUGAAAAAUAAUGUCGUUCAGUCCGUUCAGUGUCGAGAACAACUUUAAUGAAGAGACACAUUAAGUCCUUGUUGGAGUAUUACUAUUAUGAUUGGGUGUUCGUUUGAGGAAACUUUAAAUGAACCGCAGGGGAAGACGGCCGAAUAUCCAAUAUAUACCACCUAUAAUCCUAAUAUGGAGCUCAAGUCUUUUAGAAACGUAAUAAGAUUAAAGACUAUUCAGUCACAUCGGAGCCGAGGUGGCCUCUGAGCACCAGCCUGCGUCUCCACGCCAUCAGGGCCGAUUCCCAAAGCGCCACUGAAGCCGGAAUUCAUCCGGCAGCUCCCAUCAGCCGCUCGAGUUACUCACAGCAGUCGGCCGAUCCAGAUGGAAUCAAAUUCAUUUUGCAUUUUUUUUUCUUCACCUACACACUCGAUUCAGCUGUGUGGCAGAAGCAUUACUUUGCGAGCCAAACAAUGUUCCCCGUAUGUUUCAGAUGUCAUUGGUCUUUCUUUCAAAAGAGCAUAAAUUAGCGACUCAAGUCCAGAGGGACAGCAGCGUCGUCACUGGGCUUAAUGGCAGCGAUAAACAAGCCUGUCUGCUGAUCACCUCAUUGUCCCCUCGCCGGUCAACGGAAUGCCGCUCACUUUACCAAACGGUUGAACUACCCAGCUGCUUUUUAUUCUUACUUUUUCCCGGUGGGUGUUGGCUGAUGGCGAGCGGAGCAGCCAGUCGGAGUGAUGAAUCUCCCACUUCAUCAUGUGUAAUGGGGGAGACAGGGGGAGUAAACAGGGGCUGAGGUAGAGGUAGCGCUCACAGAGAACAACACCAGGGGCCAAGGUUGAAUUCAAUACCGUUUAUUCAAGUUUAUAUGAGGCGGAAAUGUUGUGUGAAGGUACCGGGCAGGAGUCAUUGACUCUUUAGCUGUUGGGUUUCAAUCACAGACGGGACUGUGGGAGCGAUGCAGUAACUCAACCAAAUAUGGUUAAAGUGCCACAAACACGGUGAUGCUGAGAGUCCUUAAGGGAUAUUUGGUGCUUGUAACAAUGGAUCAGAUGUUUAUUGUGAAAAGCUCUUAGAGAAAGAAUCCCAGAGGACAACAUCAUUCCUCCAUCACUCCACCACUCCAUCACUCCAUCACUCCAUCACUCCAUCACUCUAUCACUCCAUCACUCCAUCACUCCAUCACUCCAUCACACCAUCACUCUAUCACUCCAUUCCUACCAGCACUCCACCACUCCAUCACUCUAUCACUCCACCACUCCAUCACUCCACCACCCUACCACACCAUUCCUCCAUCACUCCACCUCUCCAUCACUCCAUCACCCUACCACACCAUCCCUCCAUCACUCCACCACUCCAUCACCCUACCACACCAUCCCUCCAUCACUCCACCACUCCAUCAC